UAGGGAAUCUUCCACAAUGGGUGCAAACCUGAUGGAGCAAUGCCGCGUGAGUGAAGAAGGUUUUCGGAUCGUAAAGCUCUGUUGUUAGAGAAGAACACGUGCUAGGUAACUACUAGCGCCUUGACGGUAUCUAACCAGAAAGUCACGGCUAACUACGUGCCAGCAGCCGCGGUAAUACGUAGGUGACAAGCGUUGUCCGGAUUUAUUGGGCGUAAAGGGAGCGCAGGCGGUCUGUUUAGUCUAAUGUGAAAGCCCACGGCUUAACCGUGGAACGGCAUUGGAAACUGACAGACUUGAAUGUAGAAGAGGAAAAUGGAAUUCCAAGUGUAGCGGUGGAAUGCGUAGAUAUUUGGAGGAACACCAGUGGCGAAGGCGAUUUUCUGGUCUAACAUUGACGCUGAGGCUCGAAAGCGUGGGGAGCGAACAGGAUUAGAUACCCUGGUAGUCCACGCCGUAAACGAUGAGUGCUAAGUGUUGGGGGCUUUCCGGCCCUCGGUGCUGGAGCUAACGUAUUAAGCACUCCGCCUGGGGAUUACGACCGCAAGGUUG
rnacentral:rRNA from 1 species